AUUUCUUGAUGAGGACACUUAAUUUCACGAGAUCGUUAAACCUCUCCCAGCACUCAAAAAAAAUGUUUACCUUCUUUUUGUUGGAAGUUGGUAAUCUCCCUUCAAAGAAC